rnacentral:rRNA from 2 species
GCUUCCGGAGCUAACGCGUUAAGUCGACCGCCUGGGGAGUACGGCCGCAAGGUUAAAACUCAAAUGAAUUGACGGGGGCCCGCACAAGCGGUGGAGCAUGUGGUUUAAUUCGAUGCAACGCGAAGAACCUUACCUACUCUUGACAUCCACGGAAUUUGGCAGAGAUGCUUUAGUGCCUUCGGGAACUGUGAGACAGGUGCUGCAUGGCUGUCGUCAGCUCGUGUUGUGAAAUGUUGGGUUAAGUCCCGCAACGAGCGCAACCCUUAUCCUUUGUUGCCAGCGAUUCGGUCGGGAACUCAAAGGAGACUGCCGGUGAUAAACCGGAGGAAGGUGGGGAUGACGUCAAGUCAUCAUGGCCCUUACGAGUAGGGCUACACACGUGCUACAAUGGCGCAUACAAAGAGAAGCGACCUCGCGAGAGCAAGCGGACCUCAUAAAGUGCGUCGUAGUCCGGAUCGGAGUCUGCAACUCGACUCCGUGAAGUCGGAAUCGCUAGUAAUCGUGGAUCAGAAUGCCACGGUGAAUACGUUCCCGGGCCUUGUACACACCGCCCGUCACACCAUGGGAGU